UACGUAGGGGGCGAGCGUUGUCCGGAGUUACUGGGCGUAAAGCGCUUGUAGGCGGUCCACCAAGUUUGGGGUGACAGUUGCCGACUUAAUCGGCAAAGUGCCUCAAAGACUGGCGGACUUGAGGGCCACAGAGGGACAUGGAACUCCAGGUGUAGUGGUGAAAUGCGCAGAUAUUAGGAGGAACACCGGUGGCGAAGGCGCCGCUCUGGGCCGAUACUGACGCUGAGGAGCGAAAGCGUGGGUAGCAAACAGG
rnacentral:rRNA from 1 species